UACGUAGGGGGCUAGCGUUAUCCGGAAUUACUGGGCGUAAAGGGUGCGUAGGUGGUUUCUUAAGUCAGAGGUGAAAGGCUACGGCUCAACCGUAGUAAGCCUUUGAAACUGGGGAACUUGAGUGCAGAAGAGGAGAGUGGAAUUCCUAGUGUAGCGGUGAAAUGCGUAGAUAUUAGGAGGAACACCAGUUGCGAAGGCGGCUCUCUGGACUGUAACUGACACUGAGGCGCGAAAGCGUGGGGAGCAAACAGG
rnacentral:rRNA from 1 species